UGGAUCCUGCAGCUCCCCCCGCCUCACCCCCACCCAUCCCCCCCGCGCUUCCAGCAGCGCCCAGAUGGCUCGGGAAAAGCCAGCGCUCGGGAUUAUCGAGCGCCAUGGAAUCACGGCCGCAAAUCCCCUUCCCACCCGGCACGUACGGAGCCUUUCCCGAGAUAAUUCCCCCGCUCCGCGAUGUGUCCCCCUCCGCCGGAUUUUUCCACCGCGCUCCUCUCCCUUUUCCCACCCCGUUCCCACCAGUCUGGGGAUCCCCCUGGAAGGCUGGGACUGGUUUGAACGCGAUUUCUGCAGCCUCCCCCGAACCCCCCCGGCCCUCCGCACGCCCCCGGAAGAUCAUCCCAUAGGACAGUGCCCCUCCAGUGGCACUGAGGAGUAGACAGGCCCUGAGGAUGCUUCAGGACCCCCCAAAUCCCUCAGCACAAACAGGAGACCCCCCAAUAGGCCCUGCCAUGAAGAUCUCUCCAGCAUGAAACAUUCUCCUUGUCAUGGGCUCCCCGAGUAUUUAUUAGAAUAUUUUAUCAUAUCUGAGGGAGGCAAACUCAGCCCUGCUUGAUCUCCUCCAGUUGCAACUCCCUUUUGAAAGGGAUGUUCGUGCAGGGAGUGACCUGCUCCGUGAAUAAAUUGACUCUGCCUCGUC